AAGAGUGGGCUGACUUGGCUGGGAACAGCCUCAAUACAUUCUGCAUUUGAUCUUUUCUCUCACUUUCUUCUUUAGGUUCCUGCCUUUGUUCUUGCCCAGUUCACACCCAGGCUGCAGACCCUCCCUUACUCUUGGUUAAUGUGCAUAUGCAGAACCCAGUGAUCAAGACAAAUUCUACCCAAUGAUGGCAUUGCUCAUUACCUCCACCCCAGGAAGCUCUUCCUGCCAUUAAUACAGCACUGAGGUGUGCUGUUUCUUUAAUCCUGGACCACAAAGAGCAGACAGUGUAUCCAGAUGUGGACUCUGAACAAUUGCUGCAGCCCAACCCCACUGACCACACAGGAUCUGCUCUUCGUUGCCACCGUAGGUCUGGGGUGGAGCCCUGCCAAGGAUGAUGCCCCAAACAGAAGCUCUUCACAGCUUUCAUUUCACUGGGAGGCUGUGACAAGGAGAUGGGAGAGGGCUGAAGCCAGGCCCUCGGUAAAUGUGAGCAAAUGUGUGAGGCAGGACACUGCAGAGUCGGAGAAGAUGAGCAAGUCCUAAACACAGCACUGCAGGAUGGAGACAGACCCGUGAUUCUAUAAGGAAAGGUGCCAUUUCUGACGCUUCCUCCUUUUCUCUUCCUCCAGGGUACUUUCUUAGGUACAAUCAGUAUUGACAAAU